rnacentral:rRNA from 1 species
AGAGUUUGAUCAUGGCUCAGAUUGAACGCUGGCGGCAGGCCUAACACAUGCAAGUCGGGCGAGAAAGCACUUCGGUGUGAGUAGAGCGGCGGACGGGUGAGUAACGCGUAGGAAUCUGUCCGGUAGUGGGGGAUAACGUUCCGAAAGGAACGCUAAUACCGCAUACGCCCUACGGGGGAAAGGGGGGGAUCUUCGGACCUUCUGCUAUCGGGGGAGCCUGCGUCGGAUUAGCUAGUUGGUAGGGUAAAGGCCUACCAAGGCGACGAUCCGUAGCUGGUCUGAGAGGAUGAUCAGCCACACCGGAACUGAGACACGGUCCGGACUCCUACGGGAGGCAGCAGUGGGGAAUAUUGCGCAAUGGGCGAAAGCCUGACGCAGCCAUACCGCGUGUGUGAAGAAGGCUCUAGGGUUGUAAAGCACUUUAAGUUGGGAGGAAAGGGUGAUGGUUAAUAUCCAUUAUCUGUGACGUUACCAACAGAAUAAGCACCGGCUAACUCCGUGCCAGCAGCCGCGGUAAUACGGAGGGUGCAAGCGUUAAUCGGAAUUACUGGGCGUAAAGCGCGCGUAGGUGGUUGUGUAAGUGGAAUGUGAAAGCCCUGGGCUCAACCUGGGAACUGCAUACCAAACUGCGCAACUAGAGUACGGUAGAGGGGGGUAGAAUUUCAGGUGUAGCGGUGAAAUGCGUAGAGAUCUGAAGGAAUACCAGUGGCGAAGGCGGCCCCCUGGAUUGAUACUGACACUGAGGUGCGAAAGCGUGGGUAGCAAACAGGAUUAGAUCCCCUGGUAGUCCACGCCGUAAACGAUGUCUACUAGCCGUUGGGGCGGGUUUCCGCUUAGUGGUGCAGCUAACGCAAUAAGUUGACCGCCUGGGGAGUACGGCCGCAAGGCUAAAACUCAAAUGAAUUGACGGGGGCCCGCACAAGCGGUGGAGCAUGUGGUUUAAUUCGAUGCAACGCGAAGAACCUUACCUACCCUUGACAUACAGAGAACUUUCUAGAGAUAGAUUGGUGCCUUCGGGAGCUCUGAUACAGGUGCUGCAUGGCUGUCGUCAGCUCGUGUCGUGAGAUGUUGGGUUAAGUCCCGUAACGAGCGCAACCCUUAUCCUUAGUUGCUACCAUUUAGGGUGGGAACUUUAAGGAGACUGCCGGUGACAAACCGGAGGAAGGAGAGGAUGAUGUCAAGUCAUCAUGGCCCUUACGGCCUGGGCUACACACGUGCUACAAUGGCCGGUACAGAGGGCUGCGAAGUCGCGAGGCGGAGCGAAUCUCAGAAAACCGGUCGUAGUCCGGAUUGGAGUCUGCAACUCGACUCCAUGAAGUCGGAAUCGCUAGUAAUCGCGAAUCAGAAUGUCGCGGUGAAUACGUUCCCGGGCCUUCUACACACCGCCCGUCACACCAUGGGAGUGGAUUGCACCAGAAGUAGGUAGCUUAACCUUCGGGGGGGCGCUUACCACGGUGUGAUUCAUGACUGGGGUGAAGUCGUAACAAGGUAGCCGUAGGGGAGCCUGCGGCUGGAUCACCUCCUU